GUGAGUUGAUCGAUUUCGAGUU
rnacentral:miRNA from 1 species